CAACGGCAUCCGUCAAACGCGUAACGCUGUCGCCAUCUUGGCACCGAACGCCGUCAGCGCCGUCAAGCGGCCUAACAUCGUACUGCGGUAUGCUCAUGCGCCGCACUCAUGCGCAGCACAAGAUAAACUAGCGCGCUUUUCGAAUUCGUCCUUCGUCGGUAAUAAAAUUGAGAAUACAGAGAAAGAUUCAGAACGGGUACUGAAUAUCGCGUAAUACAUCCCUGACUUCUAUCCGGUCGAUGUUUUCAACUCCAAUAGUAUCUCGACGGACAUGUUAUGUGAUAGUAGAAUACUGUGCGAUACGGAAGGGAAUUUGUUACUAGUUCAUUUGGAAUAUUAUUACGCUUUGUGCUUCUCAGUGGAAUACAUGAGUUAAACGACCACGUGGGCCAUUUAAAAACGUGUCUUACAGUAUGCUUUUAAGAAAACAAAAUUACGAAAGAUUGUUCUCAAAAAAUUUAUAUGAAUUCAUAAGCAUCACGCUCACGCUAUUUAUACGAAUGAGCUAGUGAAAGAAUAUAAAAAAUAUAUAACUAGGUUAAACGAGAAAUAGGAAAA
rnacentral:lncRNA from 1 species